CAGCACCGCCCCCGCGGCGCCGGGCACGCCGGGAGCCGUAGUCCAGAAGUGCCCGGUGAGGGCGGCUGGAGCGGGCUGUUGGGAUGGCGUCACCGAGGGGCAGGCGCUGUGGGGUGUGUGGCUCCGCAGCCGCCCGAGGGGAGCGGCGGGAAAAGGCCGAGUGACUGUAGGUGACACAUGGACCUUCCACACAGGUCAGUCUUUGUCUUAAAGAAAAACAUCUUUCACUCCAUCCCGAGCAACAGACCAUGAGUUCACAGAGAAAACACUCAUCCCCAGAAUAAAUCACCAUACACAUAA